UACGAAGGGGGCUAGCGUUGCUCGGAAUUACUGGGCGUAAAGCGCACGUAGGCGGAUUGUUAAGUCGGGGGUGAAAUCCUGGAGCUCAACUCCAGAACUGCCUUCGAUACUGGCGAUCUCGAGUUCGGGAGAGGUGAGUGGAACUGCGAGUGUAGAGGUGAAAUUCGUAGAUAUUCGCAAGAACACCAGUGGCGAAGGCGGCUCACUGGCCCGAUACUGACGCUGAGGCACGAAAGCGUGGGUAUCAAACAGG
rnacentral:rRNA from 1 species